rnacentral:misc_RNA from 1 species
UUCUCCAGGAUAGAAGGCAAA